rnacentral:rRNA from 1 species
CCUACGGGAGGCAGCAGUAGGGAAUCUUUCACAAUGGGCGAAAGCCUGAUGGAGCGACGCCGCGUGCAGGAUGAAGGCCUUCGGGUUGUAAACUGCUUUUAUAAGCGAGAAAUAUGAUGGUAACUUAUGAAUAAGGAUCGGCUAACUACGUGCCAGCAGCCGCGGUCAUACGUAGGAUCCGAGCAUUAUCCGGAUUGACUGGGUGUAAAGAGAUGCGUAGGUGGGCUAAUAAGUAGCUAGUGAAAUCUGGUGGCUCAACCAUUCAGACUAUUAGCUAAACUGUUAAGCUCGAGAACGUUAGGGGUAACUGGAAUUUCUAGUGUAGGAGUGAAAUGCGUAGAUAUUAGAAGGAACACCAGUGGCGUAGGCAGGUUGCUGGGACGGUUCUGACGCUAAGGCACGAAAGCGUAGGGAGCGAAAGGGAUUAGAUACCCGUGUAGUC